UAAAACAUGCUUUCUUUUCUCUUCACAUCCCCAUUCUACCAGAAGCCCACAGAACCAAUCCUUUCCAGAGCAGGAAACGGCAAGAAAGGAAUAUCACUGUUAUUUGAUCUGAUAAAGCAGAGUAUUUGCUUCUUUGAAAAGAAUUAACUGGAUGAUAAAAAGAAUCUUCAAUAAGAUUAAUUCUUGGAAAAAUCCAGUUUUCCUUCUUCUCCUUGCUUCAAUAUCAUAUUCUUUCAAGUAUGCUUCAGAUCCGCUUCCUCUGAGUUGGAUCUUAUUCCUUGAUGCUACAGACAAAAAGAAAAUAGGAUUUUCUUCAGCAUUAUCUUGCUGUUGUGAGAGAGAGAUCACAGAUCUCACCUAAGUUUUGUGAUUGAUUGACUUCUGAUGUAUUAAAACUAGCUUAUAUAAAGGUCACUACGUAUCUGUCCCAUCUUUUCAAAAAAAAUAAUAAUUUAUUUUUUACCCUUUUUGUUUAUUUUUGUAAAGAACUCAAGGCAGCAAAUAUCAUUAACUUUGUUAUAAAAAUACAUUUUUCAAAACUU